rnacentral:lncRNA from 1 species
UGCCCGCGCCUCAGGGGCCGUGAGUGAGGAGCGCGAGACCUCGGCGACGCAGGUUGAUAUCAAAAUUGGAAAUUUUCUAGUUAUUAGAAAUCGAAAGUAUGGCAGCAGAAUUUAUAAAGAGUUGUUGUAGAGGAUGUUUCUAUGGUGAAACGGAAAAGCACAAGUUUUCUGUGGAAAAAGAGUUUAAAGCAUCAGCCUCAAAUAGCCAAAACACCAUCGGUAUAACUCAAUUGACUUCUGUUUUAGCAAAGCCCCAAGUUGGCUGUAAUGAGGAUUACUUGCUUUCCAAAUUACCAUGUGAUGGUAAAGAAGUACAAUUUGUGGUGCCCAGGUUUAAAUUAUCUUAUAUUCAGCCUAGGACACAA